rnacentral:rRNA from 1 species
UGCCAGCCGCCGCGGUAAUACGGAGGGUGCAAGCGUUGUUCGGAAUUAUUGGGCGUAAAGCGCGUGUAGGCGGUUCGUUAAGUCUGAUGUGAAAGUCCACGGCUCAACCGUGGAAGUGCAUUUGAAACUGGAUGGCUUGAGUACUGGAGGGGGUGGUGGAAUUCCCGGUGUAGAGGUGAAAUUCGUAGAUAUUCGGAGGAACACCAGUGGCGAAGGCGGCUCACUGGCCGAUCCUGACGCUGAGGCACGAAAGCGUGGGUAGCGAACGGGAUUAGAUA